AGCCCCUAGCGCAGACGGCGGAGAGCAGAGAGGGAGCGCGCCUUGGCUCGCUGGCCUUGGCGGCGGCUCCUCAGGAGAGCUGGGGCGCCCACGAGAGGAUCCCUCACCCGGGUCUCUCCUCAGGGAUGACAUCAUCCGUCCACCUCCUUGUCUUCAAGGACCACCUCCUCUCCAUGCUGAGCUGCUGCCAAGGGGCCUGCUGCCCAUCUACACCUCACGAGGGCACUAGGAGCACGGUUUCCUGGAUCCCACCAACAUACAAAGCAGCCACUCACUGACCCCCAGGACCAGGAUGGCAAAGGAUGAAGAGGACCGGAACUGACCAGCCAGCUGUCCCUCUUACCUAAAGACUUAAACCAAUGCCCUAGUGAGGGGGCAUUGGGCAUUAAGCCCUGACCUUUGCUAUGCUCAUACUUUGACUCUAUGAGUACUUUCCUAUAAGUCUUUGCUUGUGUUCACCUGCUAGCAAACUGGAGUGUUUCCCUCCCCAAGGGGGUGUCAGUCUUUGUCGACUGACUCUGUCAUCACCCUUAUGAUGUCCUGAAUGGAAGGAUCCCUUUGGGAAAUUCUCAGGAGGGGGACCUGGGCCAAGGGCUUGGCCAGCAUCCUGCUGGCAACUCCAAGGCCCUGGGUGGGCUUCUGGAAUGAGCAUGCUACUGAAUCACCAAAGGCACGCCCGACCUCUCUGAAGAUCUUCCUAUCCUUUUCUGGGGGAAUGGGGUCGAUGAGAGCAACCUCCUAGGGUUGUUGUGAGAAUUAAAUGAGAUAAAAGAGGCCUCAGGCAGGAUCUGGCAUAGAGGAGGUGAUCAGCAAAUGUUUGUUGAAAAGGUUUGACAGGUCAGUCCCUUCCCACCCCUCUUGCUUGUCUUACUUGUCUUAUUUAUUCUCCAACAGCACUCCAGGCAGCCCUUGUCCACGGGCUCUCCUUGCAUCAGGUAGGGGCUUUGCAGAGACCAUCGACGGGCUGACUUGAGCACGUGGGCCGUGGCCCGGCUGGGUCGGCUGAAGAACUGCGGAUGGAAGCUGCGGAAGAGGCCCUGAUGGGGCCCACCAUCCCGGACCCAAGUCUUCUUCCUGGCGGGCCUCUCGUCUCCUUCCUGGUUUGGGCGGAAGCCAUCACCUGGAUGCCUACGUGGGAAGGGACCUCGAAUGUGGGACCCCAGCCCCUCUCCAGCUCGAAAUCCCUCCACAGCCACGGGGACACCCUGCACCUAUUCCCACGGGACAGGCUGGACCCAGAGACUCUGGACCCGGGGCCUCCCCUUGAGUAGAGACCCGCCCUCUGACUGAUGGACGCCGCUGACCUGGGGUCAGACCCGUGGGCUGGACCCCUGCCCACCCCGCAGGAACCCUGAGGCCUAGGGGAGCUGUUGAGCCUUCAGUGUCUGCAUGUGGGAAGUGGGCUCCUUCACCUACCUCACAGGGCUGUUGUGAGGGGCGCUGUGAUGCGGUUCCAAAGCACAGGGCUUGGCGCACCCCACUGUGCUCUCAAUAAAUGUGUUUCCUGUCUUAACAAAAAAAAAAAAAAAAAAAAAAAAAAAAAAAAA
rnacentral:lncRNA from 1 species